GGCUGGAUCUCGGUGUGGGAAGCGUGGAGUGUUGCGGCGCGUGUCGGGUGUUGCGAGGCUCCGUUCCGCGUGGUAGAAUUCGGACCUCAUGGCGGAGAUAAUUCAGGAACGUCUAGAAGAUCGACUCCCCGAAUUGGAACAGCUAGAGCGCAUUGGACUGUUCAGUCGCGCGGAGAUUAAAGCUAUCAUUAAGAAGGCUUCUGAUCUGGAAUACAAAAUACAGAGAAGAGCCCUUUUCAAGGAAGACUUCAUCAAUUAUGUUCAAUAUGAAAUUAAUCUUUUGGAGCUGAUCCAGAGAAGAAGAAAACGGAUUGGAUAUUCAUUUAAGAAGGAUGAGAUUGAGAAAUCUAUCGUACGCCGGGUACAAGGCAUCUUCCGACGUGCUUCAGCAAAGUGGAAAGAUGACGUUCAGCUUUGGCUAUCCUAUGUAGUUUUUUGUAAGAAAUGGGCUGCCAAAACUCAACUUAGCAAGGUAUUCUCUGCCAUGUUGGCCAUUCAUUCCAACAAGCCAGCUUUGUGGAUUAUGGCUGCCAAGUGGGAAAUGGAGGAUCGAUUGUCUUCAGAAAGUGCAAGGCAGCUAUUUCUUCGGGCUCUGCGCUUUCAUCCAGAGUGCCCAAAACUUUAUCAAGAAUACUUUAGGAUGGAGUUGAUGCAUGCUGAAAAACUGAGGAAAGAAAAGCAAGAAUUUGAAAAAGCCAGCAUGGAUGUGGAAAAUGUUGAUUAUUCUGAAGAACUCCUUAAGGGCGAGUUGGCACGGAUUAUCUACAAAAAUUCUGUAAGCAUUAUUAAAGGUGCAGAAUUUCACAUUUCACUGCUUUCAAUUGCACAGCUAUUUGACUUUGCCAAAGAUCUGCAAAAAGAAAUUUAUGAUGAUCUUCAGGCUCUACACUCAGAUGAUCCUCUCACUUGGGAUUAUGUGGCAAGACGAGAAUUAGAGAUCGAGUCACAACCAGACAAGCAGCCUCCAACGAAGCAAGCCAGAGCACUGGAGGUGGCCCAGAAGGAGGAGAGGUGCUGUGCCGUGUUUGAAGAGGCAGUGAAGACUCUGCCAACAGAGACCAUGUGGAAGUGCUACGUCAACUUUUGCUUGGAAAGAUUUGCUAAGAAGACAAAUAGUGGGCUCCUCAGAGGGAAGAGGCUGGAAAGAACCAUGACUGCAUUCAGGAAGGCCCAUGAACUCAAGCUUCUUCCAGAAUUGCAAUAUAAGCAGUGGAUUGAGUUGUUGUUGCACCAUAACUUCUUUAGGGAAGCUCUGGAGGUGGCAGUAGCUGGGACUGAAUUGUUGAAAGACUCUGCAGCAAUGUGGCAGAUGAAGCUGCAGGUGCUCAUUGACUCAAAGAGCCCUGACAUAGCCAUGCAUUUUGAAGAAGCCUUUGUGCACCUGAAACCCCAGGUUUGUCUGCCCUUGUGGAUUUCUUGGGCAGAAUGGAGUGAAGGUACCCAAAGCCAAGAAGACACUGAGGCAAUCUUUAAGAAAGCUAUCUUAGCUGUCACAGGUGCUGACUCAGUAACUCUGAAGGAUAGGUACCUGGAUUGGGCUUAUCGAAGUGGUGGCUACAAAAAGGCCAGAGCUGUAUUUAAAAGUCUACAGGAAAGCCGUCGGUUUUCUGUCAGUUUUUUCAGGAAAAUGAUUCAGUUUGAAAAGGAGCAAGAAUCAUGCAAGAUGGCGAACAUAAGAGAAUAUUAUGAGAGGGCUUUGAGAGAAUUUGGAUCGGUAGAUUCUGAUCUUUGGAUGGAUUACAUCAAAGAAGAAUUGAACCACCCCCUUGGGAGACCUGAGAACUGUGGACAAAUCUAUUGGCGAGCCAUGAAAAUGUUGCAGGGAGAGUCAGCAGAGGUGUUUAUAGCUAAACAUGCUAUGCAUCAAACUGGCCAUUUGUGAAGAGGAAGAUUAAAACUUUGUGAAAUAGUAUUGUAAGACCUCAAGGCAGAUUUUUUUUUUUUUUUUUUUUUGAUAGGAUCUCUCUCUGUUGCCCAUGCCAGAGUGCAGUGGCAUUUUCAUAGCUCAUUGCAACCUCAAACUCCUGGCUCAAGCAAUCCUUCUGCCUCAGCCUCCCAGGUAGUUGGAACUAUCAUUGUACCUGGCUAAUUCUUAUUUUUAUUGUUUUUUUUUUUUUUAGGCAGAAUCUUACCCUCAGUAGAGUGCUAUGGCAUCUUAGCUGACAGCAACUUCAACUCUUGGGUUCAAGCUUUUCUUUUGCUUUAGCCUCCCAGAUAACUGGGACUACAGGUGCCUGCCAUAGCGCUCAGCAAUGUUUUAGAGAUGGGGUCUGGCUUUUGCUCAGGUUGGUCUCAAACUUGUGAGCUCAGGCAAUCUACUCACCUCAGCCUCCCAAGUGCUGGGAUUACAGGUGUGAACCACCACACCCAGCUAUUUUUAUUGUUUUUUAUCUUAUAAUUUUCAUUUUUGAGUCAGUUUCACUUUGUCACCCUUGGUAGAGUGCUAUGGUAUCAUAGCUCAUAGCAAUCUCAAACUGGGGUUCAAGUGAUCCUCUUACCUUAGCCUCCCGGCUAAGUGGACUACAGGUGCCCACCACAAUGCCCCGCUAUUUUUAAAGACAGGGUUUCGCUCUUGCUCAGGCUGGUCUUGAACUCCUGAGCUCAGGCAAUCCAUACAGCUCAGCCUCUCAGAGUGCUAGGAUUAUAGGUGUGAGUCACCACACCCAGCAAUACCUGGCUAAUUUUUUAAUUUUUUUGUACAGAUGAGGUCUCACUGUGUUACCCAGGCUGGUCUUGAACUACUAGCCUCAAGUGAUCCACUGUGGCCUUCUGGAGUGUUGGGAUUACAGGAAUGAGCCACUAUACCCAGUCCAGAUUUGUAUUCUGUUAUGAAUCAGAUCUGUAAUUUGCUCAGAGGUGGCAGACAAGAUGCUGUCUGAUUUUGAGACAUGCUUUAAUUUUGUAUUAAUAAGUUAAUCUUUAAUUCCAGAAAAGAGAACUGCUGAUUUAAUGGCUGCUUGUCAAGGCUAGACUUCCCAUAAGUAUUUUCUAGAAUAUAUGGAAGUCAGACAGCUGAGUUUCAUUUAUUAUCCCAGGUCAGGCAUCAAUAUCUGUAAUCUAGACAUAAGAGCCGAUCCAAAUGGAGGAAAAUUACAGUUCUCUUUGUUUAGUCUCUCCACAUUAUAAAAGUAUACCUUGUAUGCAUUUGUUCUAGGAAAUAUGGAAGAAAUAGAAUAGUGUAGAGAGGAAAAUAAAGAAUCCCGUAAUCCAUCUAGAAUUAAACUCAAUAAUUUGAUUUCCUUCAUUAGAAUUAGAUUUAUACUAUUAGAUUAUUUGCUCAUUCAUUCAAGAAAUAUUUGAGUGUCCAUUAUGUGCAAGAAAGAAAAGAGGCCUUUGUGGAUGUAGGUAGGAGUCACAAAAACAGAACUGAAUGUCCCAAGAGAGCUGGUUAGAGCAGCAGAGGAGGAGUUCCUGAGUUUUGGGAUGGGGUGUGAGGGAGUCCUUUCAGAAGUUUACUAUUAUUUAAAAGUAUCUCUUUGGGACUGAUGAGCAGAGAAUUGUUUGUAUUGACAUCUGACAGUGGCAUUACUAGACCAAAGGAUGGAAAUGGUUUGACCCUACUUUUAAGAGAUUUAUGUAAGUGUCAGCCGCCUUCUAUACUUUUUUUAUCAUUUUAAUAGGUAAGAUAGUUAACAGGUUAAUUGUUUUAACCUGCAUGUUUUUGAUGUUAGUGAAGUUAGUGUGUUUUCUGUGUUUGUCUUCUCACAUAGGCAAUUUUUUUUUUGAGACAGAGCCUCAAGCUUACUGCCCGGGGUAGAGUGCUGUAGCGUCACAGCUCACAGCAACCUCAAACUCCUGGGCUUAAGCGAUUCUCUUGCCUUAGCCUCCCAAGUAGCUGGGACUAUAGGCACCUGCCACAAUGCCCAGCUAUUUUUUGGUUGUAGUUGUCAUUGUUUGGCAGGCCUGGCCUGGAUUUGAACCCACCAGCUCUGGUGUAUGUGGCUGGUGCCUUAGCUGCUUGAGCUACAGGUGCCACCCUCUUAGGCUAUUUUUUUUUUUUUUUUUUUUUGUAGAGACAAGAGUCUCACUUUAUGGCCCUCAGUGGAGUGCCAUGGCAUUACACAGCUCACAGGAACCUCCAACUCCUGGGCUUAAGCGAUUCUCUUGCCUCAGCCUUCCGAGUAGCUGGGACUACAGGUGCCUGCCACAAUGCCCGGCUAUUUUUUUUUUUUUUUUUUGGUUGCAGUUCAGCCGGGGCCGGGUUUGAACCUGCCACCCUCGGUAUAUAGGGCCGGCGCCUUACCGACUGAGCCACAGGCGCCGCUGUCUCUUAGGCUAUUUUUAAAACAACUUUUUUCUUACUAGUUUAUAAGAAUUUUUUAAUAUAUUAAGAAUAUUAAUAUUUUGUUUGGCCCCAGCUUUUUGUGGUGAUUUUUGACAGCCAGAGGUAUUUUUUUGUGUGUGAUGUUUAUUGUUGUUUUUUCGUUUGUUUAUUUUGCUUUUGAUAGUAUUUUUUUGUUUUGUUUUUGUUUUAUUUUUUAUUUUUAUUUUUUUCAAUUUUUGGCUGGGGCUGGGUUUGAACCCACCACUUCCAGCAUAUGGUGCCUGCGCCCUACCCCUUUGAGCCACAGGCGCCGCCCUCAUUUUUGUUUUUAUUUUGCAGGAAUCAAGCCCACCAGCCCUGGAGCAUGUGGCCAGCACCCUAACCACUGAGUUACAGGCGCCCUGUUUAUUGUUUUUAAAAUGCUUUCAAAGCCCUUCCUUUUGCUGAGGACAACUCAAUUUUCUUCCCCCCAAGCAGUUAAUUAAUUUUUCCAGCAUUAUUUGGCCAAUCUAAUGUGAUGUUACCUUUAUUAUAUAUUCAAUUUCUGUGGAUAUUAAGAGUCUGUUUUAGGACAUUUUUAUUUUGAGCUUUUGUAUUCCAUUUGCUUGUCAUUUGUUUUAAAAUAAGAAAAAGGAAGAUUACUCUUUUCCCUUUACCUUAAGUCCUGGGAAGUAUAAGGUUCUAAAUCUUA